AUUGAACGCUGGCGGCAUGCCUUACACAUGCAAGUCGAACGGUAACGCGGGGGCAACCCUGGCGACGAGUGGCGAACGGGUGAGUAAUACAUCGGAACGUACCCAGUAGUGGGGGAGUAGCUCGGCGAAAGCCGGAUUAAUACCGCAUACGACCUAUGGGUGAAAGCGGGGGAGUCGCAAGACCUCGCGCUAUUGGAGCGGCCGAUGUCGGAUUAGCUAGUUGGUGAGGUAAAGGCUCACCAAGGCUACGAUCCGUAGCUGGUCUGAGAGGACGACCAGCCACACUGGGACUGAGACACGGCCCAGACUCCUACGGGAGGCAGCAGUGGGGAAUUUUGGUACAAUGGGCGCAAGCCUGAUCCAGCCAUGCCGCGUGUGUGAAGAAGGCC
rnacentral:rRNA from 1 species